CCUACGGGAGGCAGCAGUGAGGAAUAUUGGUCAAUGGUCGGGAGACUGAACCAGCCAAGCCGCGUGAGGGAUGAAGGUACAGAGUAUCGUAAACCUCUUUUGUCAGGGCACAACGGCGGGGACGUGUCCCCGGAUGCGUGUACCUGAAGAAAAAGCAUCGGCUAACUCAGUGCCAGCAGCCGCGGUAAUACGGAGGAUGCGAGCGUUAUCCGGAUUUAGUGGGUGUAAAGGGUGCGCAGUGGGUCUGUUAAGUCAGCGGUCCAAGCCCGGGGCGCGACCCCGGCCCGCCGUUGAAACUGGCAGUCUCGAGUUGGAGAGAAGUAUGCGGAAUGCGCGGUGUAGCGGUGAAAUGCA
rnacentral:rRNA from 1 species